rnacentral:tRNA from 1 species
GCCCGGGUAGCCCAAAGGCAGAGGCACGCGGCUCAGAACCGCGACAGUGCGCGUUCGACUCGCGCUCCGGGUA